UUUGUCGUGAAGUGUAAUUUCAGUAGGAAUUCCAGUUCCGCUGUGAUGAUGCAAUGACAUCAUCAGCUGAGAAGAAAACAAGUACAAGCAGAUCUAAGUACGCAACAGAAUCCAAACCUUCACAGCAUUUACGUUAGCUACACACCACCUCUCUAAAGCAAAUGGUCAACUGAGUGUUAAACAAUGACUGUAGCUGGGCAAUGGUGCACAUUUAUUACUUGAAAAUAAAUCUAUGCAGUUUAUCACCAGAGCAUGACUCUAUAAGCCAGUAUGGUACAAAGUCAAAACUGGUGUUGAAUUCCCCCAAAUGAAUCGUGAGAAUUCUGUGAGGAAAUGGUCGGGCCAACGCGGCACGCUGUGCUGCUUCAUGUUGUUUGUGUUUUAUCUAUUAUACAUUUAUUUACCUGUGCUGCAGUCAGCAGGAUUUUUGGAAGCCAGAAUCUCCACAGCAAAGAGUUGAUCUAAUCUGUUGUUGUUGUUGUUGUUUUGGGUUUUUUUCCAAUCCUGGUUUUCAAAUAUUCCUUAAGAAUGUUCUGGAAACAUCCAGCAAAGCGGUCUUGAUCGAGCUUCCGAAGCGUGCUGUAAAAAUCACGCUUGCCCCAGCAUGUCAUGCGUGCUCUAAGGAACUGUAUGUUUAGUCUCACCGUUGCUGCUGUCUCCAGGGUCUAUAAAUAACUUCCCGUCAGGAACUCUCUUCAGCGUCAGGACGUUAGAGUGCAGAAAUGAUGUGCCAGUUCAUGUGUUACAAAACGUUUAGGCUUAGUGAGAUGAGUCAGCCUGUGAAGGUCUCUGCCUCCAAGACGGACAACCUGAGUUCAGUCCCUGGGACCUGCAUGUGGAGUGAGAGAAGUGACUCCUGCAGGGUUAGCUUCUGAAGGCCACUCGAGCAUAGUAGCUUGGGAAUACACAUACACACACACACAUACACACACACACACACAAACACACACUCACACACAUGCACACACACACACUCAUACACUCUCACACACACACUCACACACAUGCACACACACACACACUCACACACACACUCACACACUCACACACUCACACACACACACACACUCACUCACACAAUACUAAGAAGAUGAAUUUAAGCAAUUCUAAACAAAUUAUAUAUCUUCCAGAGCACUGGUAUAAUUAUCCUCCUACAAAUGAUUUUUAUAUCUGUGUGGUCAAAUGUGAGGCAGGGAGUUAGAAGCAAAACUAUUUUGACUUUAAGCAGAGUUUGGGAUUGAAAGUAGGAUUAGAACCAGAGGAGAGGAUGUGUACCCAGGGAGGGUAGGACCUCAUGUGACAAGAGCAAGAAACAGUUAGGGGAGAGGAAGGGCUGUUCUUGCCAGGAAGUGUCUGUGGCCUCUCUCAGAUUCUGUGAACACCAUUUGCAUCGGGCUGAAAGCUUCUGUGAAGUCAAGCCUGUCUUAUGCACCAGCAAACUUCAGUUCUCCACCUUCUGACCUCCAGAAGUACAGUGCUGCUCACCUGAGUGGGGAUUUGGUCUAGAUGUCUGGCCUCUUCCCCACAGUAAGUAACUCACCAUGGGACCAUAGCUCAGUGAACCUGUGCAGUAGUCCCCUGAUCUUAAUACUCUGCUAGUUAUAUGACUAGUCAUUUAGCUAACUACUUACUUCUUAUGAUCUCCAUUUAGAAACUGGGAAUUGACCUUCCAGCAUUAAAAAUCCCUGACAUGGAGUGUGACCCACUAAAAUGAAGUCUUCAUCCUUUUAUUUAGAAGGGUUAGACACAGAUUUACUUCAUUCCAUAAAUAAAACACAGUUCUCUUAGUUAUUUUAUUUUAAUUUUAAUGUGUAUGCUUGAUUUGCCUGUAAGUAUGUCUCUGUAGGACCUGCAUGCCUGGUGCCUGCAGAGGUCAAAAGAAGGUGUAGUACAUCCCCCGAAACUGUGAGCUUCCUUCCAGUUGGGUACAGGGAAUUGGAAGCCUACCCAGGUCCUCCAGUAGAGCAACCAGUGCUCUCAAUCUAACACAACUCCCUUUAGG
rnacentral:lncRNA from 1 species